UACGUAGGGUGCAAGCGUUAAUCGGAAUUACUGGGCGUAAAGCGUGCGCAGGCGGUCUUGCAAGACAGAUGUGAAAUCCCCGGGCUUAACCUGGGAACUGCAUUUGUGGCUGCAAGGCUGGAGUACGGUAGAGGGGGAUGGAAUUCCGCGUGUAGCAGUGAAAUGCGUAGAUAUGCGGAGGAACACCGAUGGCGAAGGCAGGUCUCUGGGCUGACACUGACGCUCAUGCACGAAAGCGUGGGGAGCAAACAGG
rnacentral:rRNA from 1 species